UACAUAUACUUUUUAUUACAGAACUGUUACAUAUUUCUGUAUACGUGUUAUUACUACUUUAAUAAGUAUGGACUACGAAAAGCUUGUUGCCGAUUAUAAAGAACUUUUUGACAAGAUGAAAAAUCCCUUUACAGCUACAGUAGAGCCAGAAGUCGAAGAAAUGAAAACGUAUAAUGACGUCGAAAUGCAGGCGAUUUUCAGACCUUAUUUCGCGAAGUACGCAUACGAGAAUUAUAACCCCAAGGAAAACGACGUAUUGCUUGUGACAUACCCAAAAUGCGGGACGCAUUGGACUGCCGAAAUACUGGCUGAGUUGAUGUACUCCAAAGAAAAAAUGGACUUUUGGAAAAGCUCAAUGAUCAUGUCAGUUCUGGAGAGUGGGCCAACAAUUCAAAAAUACGAAAUGCUGAAUGAGAUUACGACACCAAACUAUUUGUUAAGUCACCAGCCAGCUAUGAAUGUUAACAUUGAGAAGUAUUUCAAGAAUAAAGCAAAGAUAGUUUUCGUAUACCGCAACCCAAAAGACGUUGCAGUUUCAUUUUUCCAUUUCCAAAAGAAAGUGGCACCCCCUCAGUUUCGAUGUGACGAUUGGAACGAAUAUGUUCAAAUGUUCAUGGAAUUUUUGCCUCGUUCAUUCUGUCGUAAAGGUGAAACAUAUCUCGACCAUUUCUUGGGAUGUACCAGCACCGUGACCAUGAACAAGUACUCGCUCUGUGUUUCGAAGAAAUGAAACUUGACCCAGAAAAAGAGAUUCGAAAACUGUCUAACUUUCUGGGCUUGAACAAAUCAGACGACGAAAUCAACCGAGUUGUCGAUGCGACUUCAUUUAAUGCAAUGAGACAAAAACAAGAAGACGCCAAAGCGAAUGUAAAUGAAGUGCGAAAGAAUAUGAACCUUGUACGAAAAGGAAUCAUUGGCGAUUGGAAAAACCAUUUUACAGUUGCCCAGUCUGAGGCGAUGGAUCGACUGGUUGCU